rnacentral:lncRNA from 1 species
ACAAAUCUAUCCUCAAUGACAUAGUUACAUAAACAUAACUGUUCAAACUUUACAUUACAUUCUUAUCAUAUGUCAUGUCCACAUACUCUAGCUAUUACAUACAUAAGACUUGACUUCACUCUAGCCGACUUCUUGAUCUCUCCUGUACCUGCAACUCUGGGGAUAAUGGGAGUGGGGUGAGCUAAAAGCCCAGUGAGCAGAAACUAAAAACAUUUGUUUUAAUUCCUCCAUUUUUAGGUACAUUAAUAUUCAUUUUUAUUAUUAUUAUCAAAUAACUUUUAUUUUCUUUCUUUUUCUUAUUCAUGCUUUCGUGUAUGCGUCAUAACACAAACAUUCCACAACAAGGAUGAACUUGUCACCAUUUAGCCCCUAUCCUUCUUACUUAUACAUGCCGGGGGCGUAGAGCCGUAGCAGGCACACCCGGACUUCCAUAAUCAGUCAUAGUGCCAGGGGCGUAGAGCCGUAGCAGGCACACCUGGACUCACAUAGGCUAUCAUGACAUACAAGGGCUAAUGGAUCAUUCAACAUUCAUCCACAUCAACAACAAAGUAUGCAAUGCAACAUAUUCGUGAAUUCUAAUGCAAACAACCUACUAUUGCAUGGCAUAAUGAUGCAUGGGCAAUGCUUUAUGAUUCAUUCAUUUAUUCAUUUACUUUAAAGCUUAAGGGGUUGUUCCACUCACCUGGUAACUGAAGCUUGACAACGAACUCUGAACAACUAUCUCACAACCGGGGGUCUCGGUUCCUCGGGUCCGAACCUACACAGGUGGACUCAAAUGAGGCACCAAACAUACAUGAACGUGACUCUGAAAAGCU